GGAUAGGAACGGGGGCGAUGUGCGACGGCCGGGACCGGGACAGGACCGGGACGGGGGCGAUUUCUCUCCCGCGAUGCCCCUGGGGAUGAAGGAGGAGGCGCCUUCUUUCAGGACUGGGUCAACCCGCCACGAUAGGAAAGAACCCAGCAACUAACAGCUAUGUAAGAUGGAAAAAUGGGAGCGAUUUGGAGAGUUAAAUGCUGAUUUAUUCUAAAAGAGAAACGUAAUCAAACUUUCUCUGCAGUCAAGAAGAAACUCUUAUUGAAAUCUUCAGUUGUGGAGCUGGGUUUUGGAAAAGCUUACUCAUGAUGGUACUAACACAGUCUCUGACAGACCAGAUAAUUAAUUUAUUAAACCUGCUUUCAGGUUUUGCCUGCUGGGCUUGCCAUUAGUCUGGUACAAGUUUUGUUCCCGAGGACCAGUUCAUGUGAGCGGAGCAACAUACUUAUUAGCGCAACAGUUAUUGUGUCUCAGUUAAUUGUAUCAUUAAAUGUGACCUCUCAGGUUUCUGCAUCAGCA